rnacentral:rRNA from 1 species
UAGGGAAUCUUCGGCAAUGGACGAAAGCCUGACCGAGCAACGCCGCGUGAGUGAAGAAGGUUUUCGGUUCGUAAAACUCUUUUGUUAGAGAAGAACAAGGACGUUAGUAACUGAACGUCCCCUGACGGUAUCUAACCAGAAAGCCACGGCUAACUACGUGCCAGCAGCCGCGGUAAUACGUAGGUGGCAAGCGUUGUCCGGAUUUAUUGGGCGUAAAGCGAGCGCAGGCGGUUUCUUAAGUCUGAUGUGAAAGCCCCCGGCUCAACCGGGGAGGGUCAUUGGAAACUGGGAGACUUGAGUGCAGAAGAGGAGAGUGGAAUUCCAUGUGUAGCGGUGAAAUGCGUAGAUAUAUGGAGGAACACCAGUGGCGAAGGCGGCUCUCUGGUCUGUAACUGACGCUGAGGCUCGAAAGCGUGGGGAGCAAACAGG